rnacentral:RNase_P_RNA from 2 species
GGAGUCGGCCGGGCAAUCGCCUGACGGGGUGGUGUAAAUCGCCUGCGUCGGGAGGAAAGUCCGGGCUCCUGCGAACAGGGUGCCAGGUAACGCCUGGGGGGCGCGAGUCCACGGAAAGUGCCACAGAAAAUAUACCGCCGCGUUCUGGAAACGGGUCGUGGUAAGGGUGAAAAGGUGCGGUAAGAGCGCACCGCGCGGGUGGUAACAUGCCGCGGCACGGUAAACCCCACCCGGAGCAAGACCAAAUAGGGGAGUGCCUGUUGGCCGCAAGGCCAUCAGAACCGGUGUUCGCGCGGACUCCCGGGUAGGUCGCUAGAGGCCGUUGGCGACAGCGGUCCCAGAUGAAUGAUUGUCCUCGACAGAACCCGGCUUACAGGCCGACUCCUUAU